rnacentral:rRNA from 1 species
AUUGAACGCUGGCGGCAGACUUAACACAUGCAAGUCGAGCGGAGAGAGGUAGCUUGCUACUGAUCUUAGCGGCGGACGGGUGAGUAAUGCUUAGGAAUCUGCCUAUUAGUGGGGGACAACAUUUCGAAAGGAAUGCUAAUACCGCAUACGUCCUACGGGAGAAAGCAGGGGAUCUUCGGACCUUGCGCUAAUAGAUGAGCCUAAGUCGGAUUAGCUAGUUGGUGGGGUAAAGGCCUACCAAGGCGACGAUCUGUAGCGGGUCUGAGAGGAUGAUCCGGCACACUGGGACUGAGACACAGCCCAGACUACGACGGGGGGCAGGAGUGGGAAAAAUUGGACAAUGGGAGGAAGCCUGAUCCAGCCAGGCCGCGUGUGUGAAGAAGGCCUUAUGGUUGUAAAGCACUUUAAGCGAGGAGGAGGCUACUUUAGUUAAUACCUAGAGAUAGUGGACGUUACUCGCAGAAUAAGCACCGGCUAACUCUGUGCCAGCAGCCGCGGUAACAC